rnacentral:tRNA from 1 species
CGGGGUGUAGCGAAGCCCGGUUAUCGCGCCUGCUUUGGGAGCAGGAGAUCGUAGGUUCGAAUCCUGCCACCCCGACCA